rnacentral:tRNA from 1 species
AGCGGGGUAGAGCAGCCUGGAGUGCUCGUUGUAACCCUUUACGCUGCGCGCACAGCGUUAACGGAAAAGGUUGCGAAAGGCUCAUAUUGGCUUCAGGUAGUCAUCGGGAGACCCAAAGGUCAGUGGUUCAAAUCCACUCCCCGCUA